GACGAACGCUGGCGGCGUGCCUAAUACAUGCAAGUAGAACGCUGAAGGAGGAGCUUGCUUCUCUGGAUGAGUUGCGAACGGGUGAGUAACGCGUAGGUAACCUGCCUGGUAGCGGGGGAUAACUAUUGGAAACGAUAGCUAAUACCGCAUAAGAGUAGAUGUUGCAUGACAUUUGCUUAAAAGGUGCAAUUGCAUCACUACCAGAUGGACCUGCGUUGUAUUAGCUAGUUGGUGAGGUAACGGCUCACCAAGGCAACGAUACAUAGCCGACCUGAGAGGGUGAUCGGCCACACUGGGACUGAGACACGGCCCAGACUCCUACGGGAGGCAGCAGUAGGGAAUCUUCGGCAAUGGACGGAAGUCUGACCGAGCAACGCCGCGUGAGUGAAGAAGGUUGUCGGAUCGUAAAGCUCUGUUGUAAGAGAAGAACGAGUGUGAGAGUGGAAAGUUCACACUGUGACAGUAUCUUACCAGAAAGGGACGGCUAACUACGUG
rnacentral:rRNA from 1 species